CUAGCUUCUCUUUUACCUCUUGUAUAUACUGCAUGUUCUUGAUUGCAUUUUUUGAAGCCGAGCUCUUUCAGACUCCUGUUCAGCCGCAUGUUCCAAGCUCGUGGAGCCUGCCGCAGUCCAUAGAGGGCCUUGGAUAACCUCUCUCCGUUCAGAAAUGCCGACUUCACGUCUAGAUGGUGUACCUCCCAGCCUUGAUUUGCUGCAAGUGCAAGAAUGACUCGAAUAGUAUCAAGUCUAGCGACAGCUGAAUCUUUCUUCAGUUUGAACACCCAUUUUAGGCCGAUAGGUUUGUGGCCUAAUGGGAGCUCAGUUAGGGUCCAGGUCUUGUUCAUCUCAAUAGUCUUCAGUUCUUCCUCCAUUGCUUCGUACCAGCAAGCCUCGGUUGCAGCUUCUUGGUAACAGGU